rnacentral:rRNA from 1 species
GAUAAGCNAUCCGACNUGGGGAGUACGGUNGACAAGGCUGAAACUCNAAGGNAUUGACGGGGGCCCGCACAAGCGGUGGAGCAUGUGGUUUNAUUNGACGCNACNCGAAGAACCUNACNUGGGCUCGAAAUGUAGUGGAAUCCGGCAGAUACGUCGGCGUCUAGCAAUAGACCGCUAUAUAGGUGCCUGCAUGGCUGUNGUCAGCUCGUGUCGUGAGAUGUUGGGUUAAGUCCCGCAACGAGCGCAACCCUNAUCUACANUUGCUACCAUUUAGUUGAGCACUCUGUCGAAACCGCCUCGGAUAACCGGGGAGGAAGGUGGGGAUGACGUCAAGUCCUCAUGGCCUUUAUGUCCAGGGCUACACACGUGCUACAAUGGCCGGUACAAACCGUCUGCAAACCCGUCGAGGGGGAGCUAAUCGGAAAAAGCCGGCCUCAGUUCGGAUUGGAGUCUGCAACUCGACUCCAUGAAGCUGGAACUCGCUAGUAANUCGUGGAUCAGCAUG